rnacentral:lncRNA from 1 species
UGCCAAUCUUUUUUUUUUCCCUCCUUUACCUCCCCAAAUCCCCCCAGCACAUAGUUGUAUAUCUUAGUUGCAGGUCCUUCUAGUUGUGGCAUGUGGGAUGCCGCCUCAACAUGGCCUGACGAGCGGUGCCAUGUCGGCGCCCAGGAUCCGAACCAGCGAAACCCUGGGCCGCCGCAGCGGAGCACACGAACUUAACCACUCGGCCACGGGGCCAGCCCCAAAGGGGUCCAGUUUUUAACGUGUUUCACACACAUUCAUAUUUAACACUUGGAACAAUUUUUGAGACUAGUAUGUGUCCCAUUUUACAGCUGAGGAUACUGAGGACCAGAAGGUGACGGCUUGCCCAAGGUCACCCAGCUUGUAAGUGGCAGAAACAGAACUUAAACCCAGAUCUUUGGCCUCUAAGCUAGGAUUUGUGGACCAGAUAAAGCUGCUCCCAAAGGGCAAUCCAUGAAGCCUGGAACAUACUCCUUAUUCAUCCCCAUCAGGGAAGGCAAUGCCAGCACCUUGGUGCCAGCGUCUGAUACAGUCUCCAGGCAUGGAAAGCAACCGGGCCGACGUGUACAGAGACUCUUAAGAGUCUCAUGAAAUCCUAGUGUGCAGAGAAUAUCUCCAAGGCCUUUCUGUGCACAAGAAAGACUGCAGGCUGGCGGUCAGCAGGAGAGCUGUCCCUUAAAAUCCAGGUUUGGCUUCUGUAUAUAUUUAACAGGUAGUCACAUCACUGUGAAGAGCACAGAGCCACGGCAAUCCCCCCACGUAGGACUGGCCUGGCCUGGCAGCCCGCUGGGUCUCGGGCUUGCCAUUUGCUGUGGAACUGGGGACAGCAAUGCCAUCAUUUGUAUGAGAGAGGCCCCCAGCGGACAUUGGUGGUAUUGCUGCCCUUAAGGCCUCUGUGAGCAGCUCCAGAAACGCCCUCCGGCUCCCAGGAGCUCACUUCCUGGGCUGGGAGUGUACAAAGCUGGUGUUGUCUUUGACUAAUUGCCCCCAUACGUGAAGCUAAUGAGUGUUGUCCUCCUCAAAAUCCUCCCUGAGGGAGGUUGCUGUCUGCAUGUGCUAACAAUGCUGCCAUUUCACAGCUUCCCUAGGGCCUGCCUUCACGGCCUUUCCUGGGCUUUUAGAGUCCUAUUUAUGGGCAAAUCUGACCCCUGAGAACAGCUGGCCUUUGUGAAGAUUUGUUUUAGCGUCCUUAGUCCAGCUUUGUUCCAGGACUUGUUUGGUGUGUCCCAGAAUGCUGUUAGUUUUGCUUGUUAUUUUUUGUGGGUUUUUAUUUGACUUGAAUACCACCAUUAUAAAUUAGGAUUCCUAGCAUUUCUGGAAAAGUCAGACAACACUUGUUCUGAGUUCUCACCCAGCAGUCAGUGGCUGAAGCUGAGGAGCUGUGCCCCUCUUUGAGCAGGCAAGGAUUCUCCAGUUUGCCACAGUCCCCACCACUCCCUAUAGUCUCUUAUUGCCUCCCCUGCUGUCAAUUAUAUUACCUUGCUAGCCCCUAUCGAAGCUUUAUCACACAUACAGAAUAAUUGCCAUAAUAAUAGCUGCUGCCACAAGACCAGACAAUAUACCAAGCAUGGUACAUACAUUCUCUCAUUUAACCUAGUGAAAUAGGUAUCAUUAUUCCAACUCACAGAUGCAGAAAUUGGAGUUCACCAUCCUUAAGCAACUUGCCUGUGACCCAACAGCAAGUGUCUGUGCCAUGCAGUUACCAGCUGUGGUCAGGCAGGCAGGCAGACCUGGAUUUAAUUCCACGAGAGAGUGGGAAGUCAGCUUACAGUGACAUGAAAUAUCUCUAUGAGCCACAGGGUUGAACUGAAUUUUAGUUAUGGGCACAUGCAUUUACCUUGUCAGAUAAUGGGCUCCUCCCAUUGGAUUAGGGGGUGUGACUGGCUCAGUAAAGGCCCCAAACGAUCCCCAGGUUUUCCUCUUUUCCCACCCGUAAUGUAUUCAAGAAUGGCUGAUCCCAGUUAUGCAGUAGGCUAAGUAUCUUUGGUGUUAAAGACACUGGAAUAGUACCCUUCUCUUCCUCAGGACUCCUGAUGCCAUGUGCCCAGUGCCCUGAGCUUCCCCAAGGGGCCCAGGGACCCUGCUGUGACAUAGUGUCUAGGCCUCAACUCAGGCAUCACUUCACCUUCCAGAUUUUCCCCUAUGCCCUUGGCUAUCAAAACAUCCUCUGCUAUGUCCCAAGUUUUCAAGCUCUUGCUAAAUGACCGACAACUUACUCUGAUAAAUGAACGGGGAGAGAAGGUGCUAACGGGCUCAUUCAUUCUUCCGACAACUACCUAUCGAGUGUCCAUCUUCUCCUUUUAAAACCAUUCCAGGGCUUCCCACUGCUCUUAGGAGACAAAAUCCUGAGCAAGGCCUAAAAGGCCCUACGUCUUCUGUCCCCUUCAGACACCCCGCCAACACACUCUCCACCCCACAUUUCCAGUGCUCUUCUUCCAGUUCCUCCAACACUCCCCGUCCCCUCCUAGUACUGGUCUUUACACUGGCCCUGUCCUCUGCCUGGAAUCUCUUCCAACCCGUCUUACCCAGUGAUGCCUCCUUGUCCUUCAGAUCUCUGUUCCGUCUGUUCUAGCUUCAUCAGAAACAUUCGCUGGCCUCUCUGACGAGGUCGAAUCGCACCGUUAGACGCAUGCGCACCAGAACCUCUCCAUGGAGACCCCUCACCAGCGGAAUUCUGCGCUUGUCUAUUGAACAGAUCUGUGCCUCACCAGAGAUGAGUUCAAUGACGCCAUCAUGGAGGGGUUUUAUCUGUUUCUAUUAGGCCUAGAUGCCUAAUUCAUAUUUGUUGAAGGAAAGUGGUGGCCAGGGAAGUAGGGAAGGGAAGAAUUUCUAAUACUUUCCUACAGUUGAAAUAGCAAGAACCUAAAUGGCUUGCCCAAGGACAUAGAGUUAGUGACACAGCAGAAAGUUGGACUCAAGUUUCCAAGGCCUGGGGGUGCAGGCAGAGGGAGAUAAGAAAAAGGACAGCGGUGACGGAGAGUCCUCCAAAAGAUGACUCAGCAGGUGACAGCAGAGCAAUCGAAUGAUAUGAGGGACUGAGCUCGUCACGGUGCACUUCCUUCAACUUGCUGUGACACUUAUUUCACCGUGAUUCCCCGCCAAGGGUGCGGUGUGACAUCAGGGUGAGUGAGUCACUUCAUCCGGGGACAGUGUUCUGGCGCCUGCCACCCCUCAGCACCCCGAACAGCCUUACAGGUUGAAACUUCCCCCAAAGGCCUCUCUGACCACACCAGUUCCUCAGGAAACCACCCAACCCUGGCUUCGACUUUUUUUGACUUCUCCUCACUUGCCUUGUAACCCCUUCCCAGGCCCAGCUGGGAACCCGAGCCUGGGCCCGAGCUCCUCAGUGCCAGCUUUGUCCACACAUUUGCUCCUGGAGAGUUCUCAGGCCCAGUCACCUACCAGCUAAGGGCUUGGGGUCAGGCAGACCUGGGUCUAACUCCUGGUCUACCGCUUACUAGCUAACCAUGUUCCUACACUGCUAUGAGCCUGUUUUCCAUCUCUAUAUACGGGACACAGUACUACCUGCCUCCCAGAGAAGAGGGCAGGCAACGCGCUCAGCACCGUGACUGGCACACAGUAAAUGGUCAGCGGACAGCAGUGCGUGCGUGCGUGCACGUGUGAAUGUGUGGCCCUCCUGAGACUUGACUUUUCUGUACUGUGUUUUCUCUCCACAAAUCAACUUGAGAACCACAAGAUAUAUCAUUUCUAUCUUCUCAAGCAUCCUGGUUUCUU